rnacentral:rRNA from 1 species
UACGAAGGGGGCUAGCGUUGUUCGGAAUUACUGGGCGUAAAGCGCGCGCAGGCGGUCCUUUAAGUCGGGGGUGAAAGCCCAGAGCUCAACUCUGGAACUGCCUUCGAAACUAGAGGACUUGGGUACGGGAGAGGUGAGUGGAAUUCCGAGUGUAGAGGUGAAAUUCGUAGAUAUUCGCAAGAACACCAGUGGCGAAGGCGGCUCACUGGCCCGGUACUGACGCUGAGGUGCGAAAGCGUGGGGAGCAAACAGG